rnacentral:rRNA from 1 species
UACAGAGGGUGCGAGCGUUGUCCGGAAUCACUGGGCGUAAAGGGCGCGUAGGUGGCGACCCAAGUCGAUGGUGAAAGCUCGCCGCUCAACGGCGAGUCGGCCACCGAUACUGGGUUGCUUGAGCACUGUAGAGGCUAAUGGAAUUCCGGGUGUAGCGGUGGAAUGCGUAGAGAUCCGGAAGAACACCGGUGGCGAAGGCGGUUAGCUGGGCAGUUGCUGACACUGAGGCGCGACAGUGUGGGGAGCAAACAGG